GGCUCAGUGGUCUAGCGGUAUGAUUCUCGCUUAGGGUGCGAGAGGUCCCGGGUUCAACUCCCGGCUGAGCCC
rnacentral:tRNA from 1 species